AUCCUACGGGAGGCAGCAGUGAGGAAUAUUGGUCAAUGGGCUUACGCCUGAACCAGCCAAGUCGCGUGAGGGAAGACUGCUCUAUGAGUUGUAAACUGCUUUUGUACAAGGGUAAACCUGAAUACGUGUAUUCAGCUGAAAGUACUGUACGAAUAAGGAUCGGCUAACUCCGUGCCAGCAGCCGCGGUAAUACGGAGGAUCCAAGCGUUAUCCGGAUUUAUUGGGUUUAAAGGGUGCGUAGGCGGAUUGAUAAGUUAGAGGUGAAAUGUCCGAGCUUAACUCGGGAACUGCCUCUAAUACUGUUG
rnacentral:rRNA from 1 species